UGGCGGACGGGUGAGUAACGCGUGGGUAACCUGCCUCAUACAGGGGGAUAACAGUUAGAAAUGACUGCUAAUACCGCAUAAGACCACAGUACCGCAUGGUACAGGGGUAAAAACUCCGGUGGUAUGAGAUGGACCCGCGUCUGAUUAGGUAGUUGGUGGGGUAACGGCCUACCAAGCCGACGAUCAGUAGCCGACCUGAGAGGGUGGCCGGCCACAUUGGGACUGAGACACGGCCCAA
rnacentral:rRNA from 1 species